rnacentral:rRNA from 1 species
UACGGAGGGUGCAAGCGUUGUUCGGAAUCAUUGGGCGUAAAGCGCGUGUAGGCGGCUCUGCAAGUCGGGUGUGAAAUCCCGAGGCUCAACCUCGGAACUGCACUCGAUACUGCUUAGCUCGAGUCCCGGAGAGGGUGGCGGAAUUCCCGGUGUAGGGGUGAAAUCCGUAGGUAUCGGGAGGAACACCAGUGGCGAAGGCGGCCACCUGGACGGUGACUGACGCUGAGACGCGAAAGCGUGGGGAGCAAACAGG